UACGAAAGGGGCUAGCGUUGUCGGCGAAUUACUGGGCGUAAAGGUCGCGCGCGAGCGGCUGGUAAGUUCGAUGUGAAAGCCCCGGGCUUAACCCGGGGAAUGGCAUUGGAUACUACUGGUCUGGAGGAUCGGAGGGGGGACUGGAAUUCUUGGUGUAGCAGUGAAAUGCGUAGAUAUCAAGAGGAACACCAGUGGCGAAGGCGAGUCCCUGGACGAUACCUGACACUGAGGCACGAAAGCCAAGGGAGCAAACAGG
rnacentral:rRNA from 1 species